ACGCAUGAUGAGACCAGGAUUAUAGGAAGUGCCGUCAGAUGCGAUAACUGACGAUAGAUAUUCCUGCUGACA